rnacentral:rRNA from 1 species
UCCUACGGGGCGCAGCAGUGGGGAAUAUUGCACAAUGGGGGAAACCCUGAUGCAGCAACGCCGCGUGAGUGAAGAAGUAUUUCGGUAUGUAAAGCUCUAUCAGCAGGGAAGAAAAAUGACGGUACCUGAGUAAGAAGCACCGGCUAAAUACGUGCCAGCAGCCGCGGUAAUACGUAUGGUGCAAGCGUUAUCCGGAUUUACUGGGUGUAAAGGGAGCGCAGGCGGUGCGGCAAGUCUGAUGUGAAAGCCCGGGGCUCAACCCCGGGACUGCAUUGGAAA